UCCUGUAUCGAGUUAGCUGGCAAAACCUCAUUACCAACGGUGCUUAAACCCCAUCCACUUUCCUCUUCUCUUUCUCUUACCAAAUCCAAAUUUUCGCAAAAUUUAUUCACUACCAAGCUUGACCUCAUUCUCUGCGAAUUCUCGCGCUCUCAGAAAUCGUGUUUGCCCGUCGACGACGAGUCGAAAGGUAUCGGCGUCGUCGCUCCGUCGCCCGGCGAGAAGUUUCUCAAACGCCAACUGUCGUACGAAGCUGCCAAGCUCAUUCUCAAUGAAAAUAAGAAGAGGAAAAAAAAAGAAAGAUAACGCUGGAAAAGCUUCUCGUAACGUCGCUUCCUGCUACGGCUUUGGCCCUUCGUUGCACACUUCCGAUGUCGCCCCUGGAUAUGGUGAUCCUGAAACCUAUGAAUUGAAGAAGAAACACCACCAGCUUAGAACCGUUCUAUGUAGACGGUGCUAGCUUUUGUCGCACGGCGAGAUGAUAACUGUGAGGACACGGAGGAUACCCUGGCGGUAAAUUAUUCGUUACCGCUGAAGAGCUUCGAGAGAAGUUGACUCACUUGCGUCACGAGAAAGCUGUUAUUGUCAAACUGUGGAAAGCUGCUACCUUCUACAUGUUUUUGGUCUUCAUUACAGGCUUGAGUGGACUUUGUCAUGCCAUUUUUAUUGAAGGUGGCAUUUCUGUGCGCUAUAGCAACUGCAGCUGCAACUUCCUUCUUUCCUGCUAUUGACCUAGGGACUGUUCGUUUCAUUGUUAAGGGUUUAUUUUUUACAUGGUGGAUGUGUGGCAUUCACACUGGUCAAGUGCGGCAAUCCUUACAGAAGAAAUGUCACUUGAAGGUGUGUGUGUGUGUGUAUAUAUAUAUAUAUAUCUUGAAAAUAAUUUUUUUCAGGACAAAUGGUCGAGUUAAUAUGGAGUGGUCUAUAUGAGAUAUCCCUCUACUAGUUAUUAGAUUUGCUUCAAGGCGGGUAACAAUCACGUUCUUUAGUCAGGAGUUUAUUCUGUUUGAAAACCUGUUUUUAAUUUCUUUUUGAACAAUAUGAUGACAAGGCAAUUUUUAUGGAAGUGGAUGCAUAUUUUGAACUACACCAUUGGAAGGGGACCUAUAUAGACCUGCUAUCUCCAAUAUAAUUAGCUAAUCAUGAAAUCCUGAAAAACUUGUAGUGUUAUCUUCUUUUUUCUUAAUACUCCAAUGUCAGACAUGUAUUCUCUUCCCUAUCUGAUGCAAUUGGUAGAACCUCUCUUCCUUGUUUUUCAGUGGUGGCGUUUGUCAUUCGGGACAGUGUAUUUAGACAUUUUGCGUCAUUUAUGAGAACGUGGGGGUAAGAACCUCGACAUUAGGCAAGCACCACAAGAUCAAAAGCCUAAUGGCUGUGAUUGGCACAGUGGAGUGUUUCUCAGAAACUCAAUACUGGCGCAUACAUGAUUUAGUUAAUUCUUUCAUGUGCUGAUUAAAAAAAAAAGGUUAAUUCUUUCAUGUGGUUUUUCCAUUGAUUUUUAAUUUUACAUGUUUUAUGAGUGCAGUGUAAUGCGUGUUGUUUGCAUUGCUGCUUGCACUGGUGUGCCUUGUGUCAAGAACACAGGGAGAUGAAUGGAAGGCUCUCAGGUAACAUGUUUUAAAAAAUGACCGUUGUAAACCCUCCUCCCAUUCAAGAGAUGAGAUCUACAGAUGAGAAGGAAACUGCUGAAACAUCUUCACUCAACAACAGCGGUCAUACUAAUUUGGAGAUACAGGCUGUACAAGGAAGGCAUAACAUUGUUAAUAUCAUGAGAAACCGGGACUUGGAUGUGUAGGAUGAAAUGAUUGAAGUUGCUUGAAGGUGCAGAGUGAAACAGCCAAAACAACGACCCAACAAAUCUACUAAAACCACGUCACAGCAGCCCCCCACAAACCAGUCUCCAUGAAGAAGGCCAGUUUCAAAUAAAACUAGCAAGGAUAAAUUUUGGAAUUCCAAAAACUGAGGGUAUGCAGGAAGAAAUUGAUGGAGUGCAGGAAACAAUUGCCCGAAUCUAAAUGGAAGUUCAAUUUGCCAGGCCCAAGAUAAAACUCACUAUCGGCCCAAUUGAAAAAGCCCAAUAAACUCAAAUGGACUUGAUGGUUUGUUUAGUGUCCAAUACAAUAAUAACUCUAGGUUGUUGUCACAGUGACUUGUGAACACUGACAAAGUGCGAUAUUUUUUUCAAAAAAAUAAAACAAAAAGUGCAAUCAUAUUUGA